CAGCCGCCACGGGAAUACGUAGGGUGCAAGCGUUAAUCGGAAUUACUGGGCGUAAAGCGUGCGCAGGCGGUUUGUUAAGACAGAUGUGAAAUCCCCGGGCUCAACCUGGGAACUGCAUCCAAAACUGGCAGGCUAGAGUAGGGCAGAGGGUGGUGGAAUUUCCUGUGUAGCGGUGAAAUGCGUAGAUAUAGGAAGGAACACCAGUGGCGAAGGCGACCACCUGGGCUCAUACUGACACUGAGGUGCGAAAGCGUGGGGAGCAAACAGGAUUAGAUACCCGCGUAGUCCCUGUCUCUUAUAC
rnacentral:rRNA from 1 species